rnacentral:tRNA from 1 species
UACAAUCAGGUGUGUUUGCAUAAAUUAUUUUGGUUAAUUAGGGGAUUAGGCGUCGAUUGUAG